UUGUGUGAAUACAUAGCACAUUCGAGGUAGACGCAGAGAACUGAAACAUCUAAGUACCUGCAGGAAGAGAAAGAAAAUUCGAUUCCCUGAGUAGCGGCGAGCGAAACGGGAAAAGCCCAAACCAACAAGCUUGCUUGUUGGGGUUGUAGGACUCCAAUAUGGUCGUUCUUUCAGAUAGUCGAAUGACUUGGAAAAGUCAGUCAAAGAGGGUAAAAACCCCGUAGACGAAAUGUGGAAGACACCUAGGAGGAUCCUGAGUACGGCGGAACACGAGAAAUUCCGUCGGAAUCCGGGAGGACCAUCUCCCAAGGCUAAAUACUCCCUAGUGACCGAUAGUGAACCAGUACCGUGAGGGAAAGGUGAAAAGCACCCCGGAAGGGGAGUGAAAUAGAACCUGAAACCGUGUGCCUACAACAAGUCAAAGCCCGUUAAUGGGUGAUGGCGUGCCUUUUGUAGAAUGAACCGGCGAGUUACGAUUGCAUGCGAGGUUAAGUUGAAGAGACGGAGCCGCAGCGAAAGCGAGUCUGAAUAGGGCGUUUGAGUAUGUAGUCGUAGACCCGAAACCAUGUGAUCUACCCAUGUCCAGGUUGAAGGUGCGGUAAAACGCACUGGAGGACCGAACCCACGUACGUUGAAAAGUGCGGGGAUGAGGUGUGGGUAGCGGAGAAAUUCCAAACGAACUUGGAGAUAGCUGGUUCUCUCCGAAAUAGCUUUAGGGCUAGCCUCGGAAUUGAGAAUGAUGGAGGUAGAGCACUGUUUGGACUAGGGGCCCAUCUCGGGUUACCGAAUUCAGAUAAACUCCGAAUGCCAUUCAUUCAUAUCCGGGAGUCAGACUGUGAGUGAUAAGAUCCAUAGUCGAAAGGGAAACAGCCCAGACCACCAGCUAAGGUCCCAAAAUAUAUGUUAAGUGGAAAAGGAUGUGGGGUUGCACAGACAACUAGGAUGUUGGCUUAGAAGCAGCCACCAUUUAAAGAGUGCGUAAUAGCUCACUAGUCGAGUGACCCUGCGCCGAAAAUGUACCGGGGCUAAACAUAUUACCGAAGCUGUGGAGUACACCUUUAGGUGUAUUGGUAGGAGAGCGUUCUAAGGGCGUCGAAGGCAGAUCGUGAGGACUGCUGGAGCGCUUAGAAGUGAGAAUGCCGGUAUGAGUAGCGAAAGACAGGUGAGAAUCCUGUCCACCGAAUGACUAAGGUUUCCUGGGGAAGGCUCGUCCGCCCAGGGUUAGUCGGGACCUAAGCCGAGGCCGAUAGGCGUAGGCGAUGGAUAACAGGUUGAUAUU
rnacentral:rRNA from 1 species